UACCAACCCUCCUGGGGGGCUACUUUACUGGCUACGCUGGGACUUCAUGGCUGCCUGUGUUUGAGUCUGGGUCCUGGAACCGGUUCUGGUCGCCAUGUUGGAAUAUUUCUCAAUCUCCAACUAAGAUGUCCACCUCCGUUUGGGUGAAGAUCCACUUCUUCAUCUCGGAGAAGAAGAAGCCAAGCCAGACGAAUGCAACCAAGGCUGAUUAAAUAUGGCCGCAGCGUUCAUGAGCUUCCUCCGGGCCCGAUAAUGGACUCCCUGCACCAUCGGCCUUUUCCAGCCAGGACACCAUCCCGGGUCACAAGUCCACCCCCCCACCACCCACCUUAGCCCCCAAUCCGGGUGAGGGGAGGGGCUGCACGCCCUCUUCUGGUGACCUUUUAUGACACGACAGCAGAGCAGCGUUGACAUAUCCUUGCGAAACAGCUCAACUGUUAGCAUUAGCAUUAGCAUUUCAUGACAUUUUACAACAACAUAUAGUAGCGCUUCAUUUUCAAACAAAAAUAACACAAUCUAA